AUUUUAUUUAUUUUUAUUAUACCAGUUAAGAGGCGUGAAAAAUUGCCUUCAAAAUUUGUUUUUGUUCGAUUUUACACACAUAUAAACAACAUGAAAGUCAGAGAUAAUUUUGAUCUCUUAGUCUUUUUUUUUUCUUUAAACAUUUGACUUAAAAAAAACACCCUGUUUCAUAAUGUAAAACGCCUGUGAAUUACUUUCAAUUAAUAUAUAUAUCUACAUAUAUACGUUAUUUUCAUUUAAAGUUUCUUGUCCCUUUAAAACUUUUAUUUGUAAACAGCAGAGGAGGAAUUAUAGUAAACAUUUUUUUUUGUAGUUUUCUUGUUCGUGAACACAUUUGGAAAAAAAUAAAACCCUAAAAAAUUAACACAUUAGGAAAAAAAGGUUAUCACAGUUCUGGCUUUCUGUACACUAAAAUUAGCUGCUCCUAAUUCUCUCCUGGGAAAUGAUGUAACUUCCUGUAUGAAUGAUUACCACUUCCUGAUUUCCAAAUACCUGCUUGGAAAUAUGAUAUAACUCUGUUGCCUUUAACAGCUUCCCCAUUGUCAUUCAUUAGAAGUUAAGUUAAAAGUGCAGUUUCUCCAAUACAAUACACACAUGCCUUAUACAGCAUGUUAUGCUUUACCCCCUCUAUAGUUUUUCUUCCUUAAGUUCACAUACAUUUUACACAGUGUUGAAAAACUAGAAAAAAAUAAUAUAGGUCAUUCAUUUGGAGAAACAGUACCUCUAUGUUAACUAUUUGGUUUCAAUGUAAAUGAUCUGCCGUUUUUUGUAAAUAUGAUGAAGAGCUUACGAGAAACCCUCUAACGUGUGACUUAAUGUGAGCCAUGCUGAAUUUAUUUUUUGCCAAUAAAUUAUUUGAACAUUCCUUUUCUUUAAAGCCUCACUUAAUACUGAAAUAUUUCAAUGUACAUAUUUUUCGUCAUCUGUAGAUAUUGAGAUUUAGUUGAUAAUGUUGUGCAAUUUCAGAAACAAAAAAAAGUCUUCUCCCAGGAAUGGCCAAUUUCAUAUCUUUUUUUUUUUUACAUCUAUGAUUCUGAAAAAACACAAUGCAAGUGUAGGCAAGUCUUGAGAAUAUACAACAUUAGUUUUGAUGCUCAUUUACUUAAGCAGUAGUCUCCCCUCCAGGGGGAGUUCCACUAAUAUUCUAGUGGGGGACAAUCUUGAACAUCUUGAAAUAAUUAUUGUAUUCCAUUCACUAGUAGACAAUGUUCUGUCUAACCACCAUAUUUAAUAUAGUGAGAUCUAGAUCUAAAAAAAAAAGACUAUUUCUCUGCCAUUGGUAUUAUUAUUUACCAUGCAUUUAGGAGUAGGUAUAUAUUUUAGAUGAUAAAAUCCCUCACAUGAGGUGUUACAACAGACCGGGCUUGGAAUUUAUCUUCAUUACACUUUGCAAUUUGACUAUGCUCAGCUAUCGAGCAUGUAAAAAUACUGACAUUGGUUACAUUUAUGGGUGGCUUAGCCUUUACCAUUUAUACUAGGUCAUGAGAUGUUGGACCAGUAAUCCCAAAACAGUGCUAGUCUCAGACAGAUGCAUCUUGUUUUAGUUGGCGUUUCUACUCUUAUGGCUAAAAUAUACUUGAAAUAUUAUUGAGAAAACAGCUACAAUGCUGUGAACCUCUAAAAUAUAUGCAGCUAUGAAACUUGUUAUUGCCCGAUCAAUGGAACUUAAGGUAUAAUGCAACUUCAAGUUUACAAUAGCUCUUUUUGUAGGGAAGCAUUGUGGUUACAUCUGGUUUAGCAAGUCUAGUCGGUGACAUCAUUCAUUUGGUGCAAGGUAGGGAAAUUUUAAAAUAUAAUAAAAGGUGAAUUCAAUAUUUUCCUUGUCUGGGUAGACAAUAAAUAAUUGGCAGAAGGAAAUUAAUUUCUGAUGUUAAUUACACUUCAAACAUUUUAGCCUGUACAAUAAUUCCAACCUUGAGAAUCAUUCCACUAGGGGGCUCUGCGUCCUAUCAUUAUUGUUUGGCACUGAAUUACCUUCUGUCUGAUCUUAUUUAAAUCAGACCAAUCAGUGUGUUUCUAACACAUAUUCAUUCCUAACCAGAGCUUCCCCUGAUGCUGAGUCCAGAAAGCACAUUGUGAUUUCUAACAAAUUCAUAUAUGAUAGCAGCGUUUACAGAGAGAAAGCAUGUCAGCCAGGAAAGCAGCUGAUUGUGAAGGGAAAAAAUAAAUAAAUGAGUAGAUAGAACAUCAACCACACAAGAAAAAAGCUACUCAAGAAAUGAAGUGUCCUAUACAUCAACGGCACAAAUUAAUACAGCCGAAAAUUGGAAAACCACCAAGAAUAGAAAUGACACGCUUGAAAUUACAAAGGAGGCUGACUGUAUCUAUAUCUGUAUCCCUGAAAGAUCUAUUUUCCUCCAACCUUAGUUUGGCCUACAGACCCCUGGGGAACUAAAAACGUGAAACUGCCACAUCAGUGUGAAUUUUUUUUUUUUUUAUAGAUUUGUUUUUGCAGGUGGACUCUGUUUUCCUGACGCUCAGCGACAUAUGUAUCAAAAGGAGAUAAUUUGGCAAAAUAGAAUUAACCUUCAUAAGAUUCUAAUUCAUUGUUAGUUCUGUACCAGAUUAACUUUCCUAUCUAACAAGACAUUUUUGGAUCUCAUGGUGUAACCACCAACAAAGAUCACUGAGCAAUACAAAAAAAAACAUUAGGGAACUUACAUCUGUCUUGUGAAAAGUAGAUAUAUUUAAUUUAUGCAUCCUAGCAAUCACAAUAUUGCACAUAUUCAAUAUGUCAAAUUGAUGGCUAGUAAUUUAUGAUUUGAUAUUUACCACAUUCACCUUAUAAAUUUGCUCAAUCAUUAGGGAUGCUUGUAGAUUGUGGUUCGUAGAUAGAAUUGUUAAUGUAAAAUUAUAAAGGUUUCCUUUUGCAUUGUUAUGAACACAUUUUUCUUUCAAAAGCUAUUUGUUCAAUUUGAAAACAUUUUUUACCAAGCACUAUUUUUUAAAUGUGUUUCAGAGAUUUAAGAUCUAAAUGUAAUGUUUAAAAAGUCCAUCAGACACUAACGGUGUAUAAUGUUUAUGAACUAGUUAACAAAGAUAUUUUUGUGCUGUUAAUACAUACCUGAGAUGUGUUAACAAAUGGCCUAUUAAAGCAACAAUUUCACUUAGAGUUUUUCAUAAAGAUAGAAUCUUCCAGAAAAAAACAUUCAGAAUGCAUUGUGAUUUAAUUGAAAUCCCAUAGCACAUAGAAAAUAUAUAUGAGACCAAUAACUUUAUGACAAGUGUUAAUUUUUGACACAAUGUGGCAUUGGGAGUGACAGCUAAAUGGGAACAAAAUGAAAGAGGUCCGGGCACUCCUUGGUUCAAGACAGGUGCUUUAUUGGAACCACAGCAGCAACGUUUCAACCCAAGGGUCUUUAUCAAGCUUGAUAAGGAUCCUUGGGUCGAAACGUUGCUGCUGUGGUUCCAAUAAAGUGCCUGUCUUGAACCAAGGAGUGCCUGGACCGCUUUCGUUUUACUCUACUAUAUUGGGAUGUGGUGUUUGACCCUGGUACAGCAAGCACCCUGGCUCGGAUUGAUGGGAGUGAGUGCAGUUCCACACAUAUUACAAAAAGCUAAAUGGGAACAGGAAUCUUCUACAAUGUGCAGUAGAUGCCUACAGCAUCCUAUUAAAUUCACAUGAGAUUAUCUAUAACUGAACUUGUGGUCUUGUGGGAUAAUCCAUAGUGUUUUGCACUCUUGCUAUGUGUGAGAGUACACCACUGAUGCAACUACCACAAGUUACCAUAAGUUAAAGACAGAAUCAACGAGGAAGAUCAAAGAGCUUCACUCAUUCUUUAAGGUGAAUAUAUCCACCUUUUCAAUUAAUCCUGGCUGCUACCUUGAAAACAGACAUGUCAACUUUUUUUUGGGGGGGAGUGAGGGGUCUAUAUUUUCAUUUUCCCUCUGAUAUUUAGAAAGAGAACCAUCAAGAUGUAAUUUACUCUUUUUAUAGGGAAAAAAGUGACUCUACUACACAUCCAUAGUGUUUGGUGUACAUUUAUUGUUGUUGUUUAUCUUUCUGUUGUGUAGUAUUGAACAUUAUGGUAUAUCCUCCACCUAUUUUGAAUAGCAGUUUAUUUCUGUCUCAGACGUCUAUUCACUUAAUUUUAUUGUUAGGGUUAACUGAGAAUCCACUUUUAAAAUUUAGAGUAUAAAAAAAUUUAAAAUUGGAAAAAUAUUCCAACUUGGCUAAUGUGUGGAGUUAUACUUUACAUUGUGUCUAAAUUGUGUAACAACAACAACUCACUGAUAGUUCAUUGUCGACUCAUUACAGCCCAAUGUCAAUGACCCAUCACAUCCAAAUUGUCCUGCUGGAAUUGCUAGUUUGUUUGUCCACCCAUUGAACUACACUGCGGAAUAUGUUGGUGAUUAAUAAAUAAUAAUAAUUAUGUUGAAAUGUUUUCAAAGGCUGCCAAUUGAUAUUAUUAGGCAGGUUGAGACAGACGACUGACACUGCAAUUAUAUUGUGGCUGCUGUAAUUAUCCUCUGGAUACAUGAUUACAUAUAGAUACAUGCAGAGAAUGAGUAAUUGCACAUCCCACUCUUCAUUAAAAUUUGCAGUAAAAGGUUGUUUAUGACAAUGAACUGUUUGAAUUAUAGCAAUGACUUUGUCUCCCCUCUAAUAUUUGAAAUUAAUAAUAUAACACUCAAAUAGAUGUUAGUGAUGUAAUUGUAACCCACUGACAGAAGAAUAUGUUUUGUUUGUAUAUAAUCAGCAGUAAAGGUAAUAAUAAAUUAACUAUUUGGGUUAAUUUCUCUAUUAGUAGAUACUUAUGGCAUAGAGGAAUCACUAACGUCCAUUGGUUUAGGGCACCUCAAAAAGGUCGCUUUUCAUUAUCUACAAGUGGAAACGAGAUACAUCUAGUCUUUUUCCUGUGCCUCACACGUCCAGCUACAGCGUGCAUGGGCGGUGUUUAAUAAACAUUACAUCAUUGGAAUACUGCCAUAAUAAUUUCAUGGCUAACAUACAAAAUGACAACCAAAUGUUUUGUGAUUUGUUCUUAUGGACAAAUAAUAGUGUGAUGGGUGUGCUAAAGUUUGCUAAAGCAUAACAUUUAUACUUUUAUAUUUAUGUAUUAUAUUAUAGAGUGGUGUUCGCACAAUGUUUGUUAUAUAUUUGUAUGAUCUGCUUUCUAAAGCAAACUCAUGUUCUGAAUGAUUUUUCUGGAUUUGCUGCAUUUUUUAAAAGAAAACUUUGUGGUUCCACAGAUUUACAAAUUUUCUUUCCCACAUAUUUACUGGCAUCAAGAUAGUCAUAAUUUCCUCCAGGAUACCACUGGCUAUCCCAUCAAAGUGAAUGAUGUGCAUUUAAUUUGACUGUCCCUUUAAAUGCACACACAAACGACUGAGCAAACUGCAUCUGUUGCCUAAUUACUGAGCAAAAUCUUUCUAUAAAUAAUCAUGAAAUUUUAAAAAUGCAGGUGAUCAGAAAACACAAUAUAAAAUAUUAUAUUCCAUAAAAUGGAAUGCAUGUACUCCUAAAAUGUACUUGAAAAAUAAUGAUGUAUAUGUGUAGGAUUGCCAUCAACAUUGGAAAACACUCUCAUGUUCUCUUUUACUCCAUUGAUUUUAUACAGUGAGAUCCACCAAAUCCACCUGGUCAGUAAAAUAAUAUUGGUAGGGUUAUGUUGUCCUAUUUAUCAUACCUUAGUAUAUUUCUAGUAUUUUGUUUUCUGCGGACAAAGUGUUGAGAGAUCUUAAAGGAUUUACUAGUUGGGGUUCAGAGCUGACAUUAACAAAGGUAGGUACACAUAGAUAGAGACACAUAGCAGCUCCUAAUGAUUGUUUCCACAAAACAAUCUAAAAUCCAUGCAAAAAAGACAUGCAAAUAGGACAGUCACCUAUUUAUGGACCUUGACCAGUAACAGAUACGAAAUCUAAGUUUACAAGGCUGUCUGUGUUCAUUUGCAUAUCUGGAUGGCAUUUUGGGUGUUUUGUGAAAUGGUCAUAAAGAACUGCUAUGCUCAGGGCAUGCAUUUUAUUUACAUUAUGCUGUAUGGGGAUUACAUUUUAGUAUAUUUUAGAAUUCACAUCAAUCAGUAGGGGUUUCUUUUUACAUUUAUGUAGCUGUUCCUGUCACUACAACUGUAUUAAUUAAUUAUACCACAAAAAGUGCCAACAUAAGAAACAUCUGUGUAAAGCCAAAUCUUAACCUGUGCUGUACUAGAAAUUAUGUUUAGAAUAGCAAUAAAUUGCCAAGGGAACUACCAGAAACAAAGGCAGCAAAUCUAAAAUAUUUGCAAGGCUGUGUGUAUCCAUAUGCAUAUUUGUAGGCUUCCUAGUUUUAUAUGAAGGUAUAAUUUAUAUAUGGCACUACAAUUGGUACUACAUUCACUAGAGGGAAGAAAAACCAGAACAUGCUGUGAUUAUUGGGUUGGGUUAGGAGACGAUUAAAGGUAAUCUGUAAUUAUCUGGAUUUAGUUGAAUGUAUUGCCUUAGUCUCGCAAGAGAGAAACAGCAAAUGCAAUUAUAAAUACUAUGUUUCAUACAGCAAUUCUAGCACUUGGGAGAAAUUAUACAAAUUAACUGCAAUACAAUUGAAUAUAAGCUUUGAUACAUAUGCCUCAAAGUGUAAUUCAACCAUGGUUUAAAGCAGGACUCAAAAUUUCCACCCACUCACUAGCCAUUGGCAAGUAUAAAAUAAGCACUGAUGAGUAGAAAUGUACCCCUGGUGAGUUUGUCAUGAACCUUAUAGACUUGCAGUGGCAAGUAACUUGUAAGCCUGUCUAGUAGAAUAUUUCUUAACAUUUUGAGCCCUGUCUGAAGCAUGGUUUUCUCAAAACAUUAUUCUCCAUGUUCAGUUCUAUCAAGCAGUCAGCUGUGGAACUGACCAGCUGGUAAAUGGUUAAAUUGUGCUCUGUUGUUCAUUUAACACCACCUAAAAAAUUGGCACAAAGAUGAUGGCAGUUGCACGUAAUGGUUGGAUGGCUUCAUAGACCUGUAGGCUAUAAAAUAAGGGUAUCAGUCAAUCUGAGUCUCUAUUUCUAAGGUGGCUUCAGUAUUUUGGCACAUUUAGUUGGAGCCUGAUAUCAGAUGACUCAAGGAAUUGGCACAAAGAAGAGCAUCACACCUCCAUGACUGAGCUCUGUCAAUUGGCACAUGAAGAAAAAGAAAAUAAUAAUAAAAAGAACCGGAGCCAGGGAUCUUAUAUAAGCACGAUCCAAUGGCUCUGGGUAAAUGGCACAGGGAUACAGAGCCUUGAAACCUCUAGGAAUGGGUGUCUUGGGGCAGGACACAACCUUCUCCCUCUGUGUCACAACAAAUUCAUUGAAAAGUCUAUUUAAAAAAAAAAAUCUCGACCACCUAUUUACAAUACUAAAUAAAUUAACAGUGGGCGGUGUGGACCCGUCCCGUGUUUCUGAUGACUGAAGCGGCACCCUGAUUUCUCUCCCCUCACAUUUAACGUGAUGGAAGGACUAAUUGGAGGCUAGGUUGACGCUUCCCAUUUUCUCCUACUAUAACCAUGUGUCACCUAGAAGUGAAGAUUAAUGCCCAAAUGGUCUUGUUUUGUGCUAGGAUGCUGCCCUCAAACAUUUGCUUUCACCACACUCAACCACAAAAUGUAUUCCGUCCACAUACAAAGCAUUCUUUCCGGUGUCCAUCCAAUGAUUUUGUAAAAUAUUAUGCUCAUUUAUGCAAAAUCCAAAUACCUAUGUGAACAAUAUAUUACACGUUUCAUCUGCAUAACUAAAGUGUACAUCAUAUGAAUAUUAGCCCUCCGAGUGCCAGUGACAUCUUUACAAUUUCAUCAGUAUUGUUGGUACCAUCAUUUUUUAUUUCUUUCAUUCAGUUUAAACUUGAAUAUUGCUUACUUUCAAAUGUUUUAUUCUACAAUUGACCAAACACUGCAUAUGUGUAAUUCUAGAUGUCUUGUUGGACAGCUCAUGAAAAAAAAAUGGUGAUGGUAACAUGGUACACUUUAGGCUUCCUUAUCUUUUAUCUCAAUUAUUACUGAGCUGAUCUUUAAAGCAAAAGCAUAUUUAGUGAGAUGUGAUGGUGUGGUUAAAAAGAGCUUGCGUAAAAAAGCUUCAGGCUGAAGAUGGCUAAAGAUUGUUCCUUCAUUAUGAAGGAAAGCAAUAACUACUUAACCCAGAUUGGUACUAUCUGAAUACAGAAAGUGCCAUGCUAGGAAGCCCUUGGAUCUAGAAUUGAUUCUUCAAACUCAUUGUCUUGAUGUCCAUAUAAAUACAUUUCUCAAAAUGAUUAUUUUAAAUAAAAACACCUUUGGCUGUGUAUAGCGUGCAAUAAGUACAAGAGCAGAAUGAAAAAUAACCGCACAGCCAAAAAAUAUAAAAACUAUUUCUAAAAAGAAGUGAUUCUAACACUAUACUUCUCCAAAUUUAUUAUGGACUGAAAAAUUUGACGAAAUUAAUAUUUACCUUGGACAAUAUUAUGUUGGUGUUCCUGAGCUAUCAUCACAAUUUAUUUCUUAAUGUACAUAAUAGUGAUUUUCUUUUGUUUUAAGCCAGAUUAGC
rnacentral:lncRNA from 1 species